rnacentral:rRNA from 1 species
GAUGAACGCUGGCGGCGUGCCUAAUACAUGCAAGUCGAGCGAACGGACGAGAAGCUUGCUUCUCUGAUGUUAGCGGCGGACGGGUGAGUAACACGUGGAUAACCUACCUAUAAGACUGGGAUAACUUCGGGAAACCGGAGCUAAUACCGGAUAAUAUUUUGAACCGCAUGGUUCAAAAGUGAAAGACGGUCUUGCUGUCACUUAUUGAUGGAUCCGCGCUGCAUUAGCUAGUUGGUAAGGUAACGGCUUACCAAGGCAACGAUGCAUAGCCGACCUGAGAGGGUGAUCGGCCACACUGGAACUGAGACACGGUCCAGACUCCUACGGGAGGCAGCAGUAGGGAAUCUUCCGCAAAGGGCGAAAGCCUGACGGAGCAACGCCGCGUGAGUGAUGAAGUUCUUCGGAUCGUAAAACUCUGUUAUUAGGGAAGAACAUAUGUGUAAGUAACUGUGCACAUCUUGACGGUACCUAAUCAGAAAGCCACGGCUAACUACGUG